rnacentral:rRNA from 1 species
GACUCUCGACAAUGGAUAUCUUGGCUCUUGAAUCAAUGAAGAACGUAGAGAUAUGCGAUACUUGGUCUGAAUUGCAGAAUCACGUUAACCAUUGAGUCUUUGAAUAAAAGGUGCGCCAAAAGCCAUUAGGCCGAGGGCACGCCUGCCUGGGUGUUG